CACAACUGGGACUAUUACUGCCUUCACUUCACAUGUCCUUUCUAGCUCCUUUUAUUUGUCCACCUUCUCAUGUUCCUUCUUCUUGAUGUCGUAGUCACUGGGUAUUGUCACCUUCACCACCACUGCAGUCUUGUGUUCCUUGUCUACCACUAUAUCUGUUUAGUUGGCCAGCACAUGCAUGUCCGACUGGAUCUCGAAGUCUUACAUGACCUUAGCCCUGUCAUUUUCAACUAUGGAAUAUUAAACUGGG